rnacentral:ribozyme from 1 species
CAGGGCGGCGGGCCGGGCUAAAGUCGUCGCCUCUGCCUCCGCAGCCGGGGGUGUCAGUUCAGGCAGCGGCACAAAAACGCUUUGGGCGGCGAAGAGGGCGGGGAGGGCGGCGGCGGAGGCGGCCGCGGUUGC